rnacentral:rRNA from 1 species
ACUCCUACGGGAGGCAGCAGUGGGGAAUCUUAGACAAUGGGGGCAACCCGUGAUCUAGCCAUGCCGCGUGAGUGAUGAAGGCCUUAGGGUCGUAAAGCUCUUUCGCCAGGGAUGAUAAUGACAGUACCUGGUAAAGAAACCCCGCGUACAUCCGUGCCAGCAGCCGCGGUAAUACGGAGGGGGUUAGCGUUGUUCGGAAUUAUUGGGCGUAAAGCGCGCGUAGGCGGAUCAGAAAGUUGGGGU